AAGACAGGUCUUGAAUGUAAAUCAGUCAAAUUCUCCACAGAAACUGAGAUAGAGGUUAAAAUACAGGCGGAGACGAACAUAAGUUUGUGAUCAAUAGAUCGAUGCAGAGGAUCGGUGAAGAACAUCCACCUGUUGAUCAACCUCAGUCACAUACCCAGUAAUGAAGCGUAACAGAAGUUAUGAUUUGCUGCCACCAGACAUGUCGGUGCUGAGAGUUGGUCUCCUGGGAAAUAGCUGGUCUGAGAGGAGUUCAGUGGCGAACUUUCUACUGGGAGAAAAAAAAACGAGUACCGAUGAAGAGCCAGAAGUCUGCGUACAAUCCACAGGACACGUCAAAGACAAAACAAUAGUUCUCAUAA